GAACCGGGGCUUGCCCCGGGGCAGAGCCGCGAACGGGUGAGUAACACGUGGGUAACCCACCCCGAUGAUUGGGACAACCCGGGGAAACUCGGGCUAAUACCAAAUGUGCUCGUAGACCAUGAGGUCUGCAAGUAAAGAUAGCUUCGGCCUUCGCAUCGGGACGGGCCCGCGGCCCAUUAGCUUGUUGGUGAGGUAACGGCUCACCAAGGCUGCGAUGGGUAGCUGGUCUGAGAGGACGAUCAGCCACACUGGGACUGAGACACGGCCCAGACUCCUACGGGAGGCAGCAGUGGGGAAUCUUGCGCAAUGCGCGAAAGCGUGACGCAGCAACGCCGCGUGGAGGAAGACGGUCUUCGGAUUGUAAACUCCUUUCAGUUGGGACGAAGCUCAGCGGGUUAAUAGCCCGAUGGAGUGACGGUACCUUCAGAAGAAGCCCCGGCUAACUACGUGCCAGCAGCCGCGGUAAUACGUAGGGGGCUAGCGUUGUCCGGAAUCAUUGGGCGUAAAGAGCGUGUAGGCGGUCCGGUAAGUCCGCUGUGAAAGUCGGGGGCUCAACCCUCGAAUGCCGGUGGAUACUGUCGGGCUAGAGUGCGGAAGAGGCGAGUGGAAUUCCUGGUGUAGCGGUGAAAUGCGCAGAUAUCAGGAGGAACACCUAUUGCGAAGGCAGCUCGCUGGGACGUAACUGACGCUGAGACGCGAAAGCGUGGGGAGCAAACAGGAUU
rnacentral:rRNA from 1 species